AUUGAACGCUGGCGGCAUGCCUUACACAUGCAAGUCGAACGGCAGCGCGGACUUCGGUCUGGCGGCGAGUGGCGAACGGGUGAGUAAUACAUCGGAACGUACCCUGUUGUGGGGGAUAACUAGUCGAAAGAUUAGCUAAUACCGCAUACGACCUGAGGGUGAAAGUGGGGGACCGCAAGGCCUCACGCAGCAGGAGCGGCCGAUGUCUGAUUAGCUAGUUGGUGGGGUAAAGGCCCACCAAGGCGACGAUCAGUAGCUAGUCUGAGAGGACGAUCAGCCACACUGGGACUGAGACACGGCCCAGACUCCUACGGGAGGCAGCAGUGGGGAAUUUUGGACAAUGGGGGCAACCCUGAUCCAGCAAUGCCGCGUGUGUGAAGAAGGCCUUCGGGUUGUAAAGCACUUUUGUACGGAAAGAAAUCGCGCUGGUUAAUACCUGGCGUGGAUGACGGUACCGGAAGAAUAAGCACCGGCUAACUACGUG
rnacentral:rRNA from 1 species